GUACGAAUGGUGUUGGGGUUCAUCCUUUGAAUACCCUAAUAUCGUUUCCCUCCUGUUUUGGUUUCCAGAGAAACUGGGCUACCAGUUGAGAGGCCGCCUCUCUCCCAUAGGCACCGUCGGGGUCGUUGCCGCCUGCUGCGUCGGCCUCAGUUUUUUCAUUGGGGUCGUGGUCUUCCAGAGAGGCAAUUCUUCUUACAGUGGUGAUCAAAUGCUCUCGGGCUCCCCUAGUACUACUGGAACCAGAAUCGGGAGUCCGUAUCGACUCAGUAUCCACGACGCCAACCAGCCGCAACCUGCGUGA
rnacentral:lncRNA from 11 species